UACGAAGGGGGCUAGCGUUGUUCGGAAUCACUGGGCGUAAAGCGCACGCAGGCGGAUUGAUAAGUCAGGGGUGAAAUCCCGGAGCUCAACUUCGGAAUUGCCUUUGAUACUGUCUGUCUUGAGUCCGGGAGAGGUGAGUGGAACUCCUAGUGUAGAGGUGAAAUUCGUAGAUAUUCGCAAGAACACCAGUGGCGAAGGUGGCUCACUGGCCCGAUACUGACGUUCAGGCACGAAAGCGUGGGGAGCAAACAGG
rnacentral:rRNA from 1 species